rnacentral:rRNA from 1 species
AUGCCACCUUCCGUGCACGACACGGAAGGCCUGCCGUUCAUGAAGCAUGGUUGUGUCUUUCGUGCGCACCGCCGGAUGAACGACAUGCUGGGACACGCUAUCCCUGAUUUAUGUCGCUUCAGCUUGGAUGAGUCUCCAUCGUGUGGAACCGGACUAGAAAGCUGCGACAAUAAUUCCCGUUGCCCACCGCUAUGGAUCGUGCCAUCCAUGAAGAACGCCUGGGACUGGAACCUGGAGGAGGACAUCACGACCCUCUUUUGUUGGACUGUUGUUAGUUUGAAGCACUCCUCUGGCUUGAAGGAUAGAUACCUUUCUGGGAUCAAGUGCAUCCUAACUCACCUGCGCAGGAUAAUUAACCCAUGCAAGUCAAAGAAGGAUUGGCCGGUGCUGCCGGCUGGCGUCAAGUUCGAUCCCACGGAUCAGGAGCUAAUCGAGCACCUUGAGGCCAAAGUGAGUGCUGACAGCGCGAGAUCUCACCCUCUCAUCGAUUUGUUCAUACCAACCAUCGACAGCGAGCACGGCAUAUGCUACACCCAUCCUAAGAAAUUUCCAGGUAUCCCACUGAGUGGCCUAAGCAAGCAUUUCUUCCAGCGCAAUUCCAGGGCGUUCAAAAGGGGCACGUGGACGCGUCGCAAGAUACAGUCGGAGUGCGGCAUGCAUGCGAUGUGGCACAACACCGACAAUACCUUGCCGGUGAUGGUCAACGGCCGGUAG